UGACGAGCGGCGGACGGGUGAGUAAUGCAUAGGAAUCUGCCCGAUAGUGGGGGAUAACCUGGGGAAACCCAGGCUAAUACCGCAUACGUCCUACGGGAGAAAGGGGGCUUUCGGCUCCCGCUAUUGGAUGAGCCUAUGUCGGAUUAGCUAGUUGGUGAGGUAAUGGCUCACCAAGGCGACGAUCCGUAGCUGGUCUGAGAGGAUGAUCAGCCACAUCGGGACUGAGACACGGCCCGAACUCCUACGGGAGGCAGCAGUGGGGAAUAUUGGACAAUGGGGGCAACCCUGAUCCAGCCAUGCCGCGUGUGUGAAGAAGGCCUUAGGGUUGUAAAGCACUUUCAGCGAGGAAGAACGCCUAGUGGUUAAUACCCAUUAGGAAAGACAUCACUCGCAGAAGAAGCACCGGCUAACUCCGUGCCAGCAGCCGCGGUAAUACGGAGGGUGCAAGCGUUAAUCGGAAUUACUGGGCGUAAAGCGCGCGUAGGUGGCUUUAUAAGCCGGUUGUGAAAGCCCCGGGCUCAACCUGGGAACGGCAUCCGGAACUGUGAGGCUAGAGUACAGGAGAGGAAGGUAGAAUUCCCGGUGUAGCGGUGAAAUGCGUAGAGAUCGGGAGGAAUACCAGUGGCGAAGGCGGCCUUCUGGACUGAUACUGACACUGAGGUGCGAAAGCGUGGGUAGCAAACAGGAUUAGAUACCCUGGUAGUCCACGCCGUAAACGAUGUCGACCAGCCGUUGGGUGCCUAGAGCACUUUGUGGCGAAGAACGCGAAAGCAACCGCCGGGGGAGACGGCCGCAAGGGUAAAACCAAAGGAAAGGACGGGGGCCCGCACAACCGG
rnacentral:rRNA from 1 species